rnacentral:rRNA from 1 species
CACGUAGGCACCAAGCGUUGUCCGGAUUUAUUGGGCGUAAAGAGCUCGUAGGCGGUUCAGUAAGUCGGGUGUGAAACUUUGGGCUUAACCCAAGCGUGCAUCCGAUACUGCUGUGACUGAGUACGGUAGGGGAGCGGGGAAUUCCUAGUGGUAGCGGUGAAAUGCGCAGAUAUUAGGAGGAACACCGGUGGCGAAGGCGCCGCCUCUGGGCCAAACUGACGCUGAGGAGCGAAAGCAUGGGUAGCAAACGGG